rnacentral:SRP_RNA from 1 species
CCGCAGGCUAGGUCGGGAGGAUAGCCGUCUCCUGUCGCUGCAAACCGGCUUCACGGUGGGACCGAAGUCCCUGGAGCAGGAUAUGUUUCAUAUGCAGGGUCUUGACCCGGACGUUGAGGCUUUGUCCUUUGGGAUGCUUGUGCAGGGGAACCACGUCAGGCGGGGAACCGAGCAGCGUUAACCUUGUAUGAGGGUGCUCAGAGGGUCGCGAAGCUGAGGAAGGGCCGAGGUAGCUCUCGUAUGUGCAUGUUCUCAUCCAGGGACGUGCCUGCAU